AUGAGUUCAACAAGCAGAGCAUGGGCAGCAGCAGGCAGUGUUGCAGUUGUGGAAGCUUUGAAGGAUCAAGGUAUAUGCAGAUGGAAUCAUACACUAAAGUCACUUCAAAAUCAUCUCAAAAACAAUGUCAGAUCGUAUUCUCAAGCAAGAAAAUUGUCAUCUUCUUCUUCUACUAUGGUUUCUAAUUCUCACAGACAAAAAGAGAAGGCAAAGCAAUCAGAGGAAUCUUUGAGGACAGUCAUGUAUUUGAGUUGCUGGGGUCCUAACUAA